rnacentral:rRNA from 1 species
UGGGGAAUAUUGGACAAUGGGCGCAAGCCUGAUCCAGCCAUGCCGCGUGGGUGAAGAAGGCCUUAGGGUUGUAAACCCCUUUCACCGGUGACGAUGAUGACGGUAGCCGGAGAAGAAGCCCCGGCUAACUCCGUGCCAGCAGCCGCGGUAAUACGGAGGGGGCAAGCGUUGUUCGGAAUUACUGGGCGUAAAGCGCGCGUAGGCGGGUGACCAAGUUGGGGGUGAAAGCCCGGGGCUCAACCUCGGAACGGCCUUCAAAACUGGUUAUCUAGAAUCCGGGAGAGGUAAGCGGAAUUCCUAGUGUAGAGGUGAAAUUCGUAGAUAUUAGGAAGAACACCAGUGGCGAAGGCGGCUUACUGGACCGGCAUUGACGCUGAGGUGCGAAAGCGUGGGGAGCGAACAGGAUUAGAUACCCCCGUAGUCC